rnacentral:misc_RNA from 1 species
GGGAGUAAAAGUCGUAACAAGGUUUCCGUAGGUGAACCUGCGGAAGGAUCAUUAUUGUAUAACCGAGGUGCGAGGGCUGUCGCAGACCCGAAAGGUCGUGCACGCCCGAGUGCCCUCACACACAUCCAUCUCACCCCUAUGUGCACCACCGCGUGGGUCCCCCUUUGGCUUGUUCGGAGGGGGGCUUACGUUUUCACACAAACUUUGUAUGCAGUGUAGGAUGUAUUUUUUGUUUUUGCGAUCACGCAAUCAAUACAACUUUCAACAACGGAUCUCUUGGCUCUC